rnacentral:lncRNA from 1 species
CUAAAACUCGUUUUGGACGGCUGUGUGGCCAUUGCUCCCAGUCUCCCCCUAACGCCCUCCUCCCUGAGGAGACUGGGUUGCUUGGUGUGGUCACACCCUGGGUUGAGUGACAGAUCUCCUGAAUGGGGCCUCUCAGCAUCUGCCCCGGUUUCAUUUACUCACUGGGGACCUGUAGAGCAGUUCUGGUGGUUGAGGCUCUCCCAGGGCCGGACCAGCGAACUGUCACAUCCCCGCAGUUCUGCGUGUGUGAGCCCCACGCUGUGUGCUCUACUAAGUGACUGACUUUGUGGUAAGGGAGGUCAAUCCUCACGAUGCUACAGGCAGGUUUUCAG